rnacentral:tRNA from 1 species
GCUCAGUUGGUAGACCGUGGGACUCUUAAUCCCAGGGUUGUGGCUUCAAGCCCCACAUUGGGUG